GAUGAACGCUGGCGGCGUGCCUAAUACAUGCAAGUCGAGCGAACAGAUGAGGAGCUUGCUCCUCUGACGUUAGCGGCGGACGGGUGAGUAACACGUGGAUAACCUACCUAUAAUACUGGGAUAACUUCGGGAAACCGGAGCUAAUACCGGAUAAUAUAUUGAACCGCAUGGUUCAAUAGUGAAAGACGGUUUUGCUGUCACUUAUAGAUGGAUCCGCGCCGCAUUAGCUAGUUGGUAAGGUAACGGCUUACCAAGGCAACGAUGCGUAGCCGACCUGAGAGGGUGAUCGGCCACACUGGAACUGAGACACGGUCCAGACUCCUACGGGAGGCAGCAGUAGGGAAUAUUCGGCAAUGGGCGAAAGCCUGACGGAGCAACGCCGCGUGAGUGAUGAAGGUCUUCGGAUCGUAAAACUCUGUUAUUAGGGAAGAACAAAUGUGUAAGUAACUAUGCACGUCUUGACGGUACCUAAUCAGAAAGCCACGGCUAACUACGUG
rnacentral:rRNA from 1 species